CAAAUCCUUUGCUGCUCCUACAAGAAAUAGAACAUUGUUAUUACUUUGAGCAGAGUCGUUUUUCAGAAAUAUAAUCACAAUAUAAUGUUUAUAGAAUCAAAUUAUUCGCCAAGAAAUAAAACAUAAUAUACUCAGACCAGACGAGGUUGCUUCUCGUUCAUACUUUUAACCUGGUCAAAGUAAUGCAAAAGGUUCAAACGACAGACAAAUUUGUCAGUGACAUCUUUCAGUUGAAGCAUUAUGUAGAUUAGUAAACACCUGGACAAAUUUUAAAACCACAUAAAACCAUAAAAGUAAAGUGACAUAAUACCGUGAAAUCAAUUUACCUUAAGAGGAAGUAACGAAAAGAUGUUUGGCUUUCCCAUAUUCACAAGCCUUGUAAUUCGUACUGUCAUCAUUGAGUGUUGUGUUGUAAGUUGUUAUGGCCACGAUAACGCAAUACCUAACAAACAAAUCUACAUUCCGUUGUUGCACCGUCAGACGAAGCUCUGCCUGCAAACAUUUUACACUUUAGCAAUCAUAAAACAAUAUCAAAACUUAUGUGAUUUUGGUUUAUCUUCAAGGGUGUCGACGAUAUACCAAACCCUCCUUUACAGAUCACUUAGUUGACGUUGUUUGUAAUAUACAUGCUUAACUAAAGUGAAUUAUCUCUUGAAUACACUAGGAAAGUAAAUACUUUUACUAACCCAUUUAGUUAUGACCUUACUUAUUUCUUUUCCUUGGCAUGAUGCAUAUCAUAACUAUUGCAACAACGAUUCUGUUCCCAUCCCCAAAUGAACGUGAGUGACCAAUGCUAGGUUCAUUCACACAUGAAACCU
rnacentral:lncRNA from 1 species